rnacentral:misc_RNA from 1 species
CCUGCUGCAGCGGCCGUUUCGCAGAGCUAGCAGGCGGGACGACAGCUGAGUGUGCUGCGAUAUGCUGCUGUUGUCCAUGUGCGUUAGUAAACCUUCUAUACCUCACCAUCUACAAGGUUCCCGCUGGGCUGUGCCGCCGCGCUUUGAGGAGGCGGCGGAGGAAGCAGCUGAUCAAGAAAGGAAAGCUGCCGCUUAGGACAAGGAGAUGCCGGUGCGGGUGCCAAGAAACAGAGAUACAAAUUCAUCCGUCGCCAAGUGUCAAUGAGUUGGUAGUGUUAAAAUCGUAUUCAGAAGAGGAGGAGGAGGAGGAGGAGGAGG